rnacentral:rRNA from 1 species
AUUGAACGCUGGUGGCAUGCUUAACACAUGCAAGUCGAACGGUAGCAGACCUAGCUUGCUAGGUGCUGACGAGUGGCGGACGGGUGAGUAACACGUGGGUGACCUGCCCUCAGCUCUGGGAUAAGCCUGGGAAACCGGGUCUAAUACUGGAUAUGACUCCAUGACGCAUGUUGUGGGGUGGAAAGCCUUGUGCGGCUGAGGAUGGGCCCGCGGCCUAUCAGCUUGUUGGUGGGUGAUGGCCUACCAAGGCGACGACGGGUAGCCGGCCUGAGAGGGCGACCGGCCACACUGGGACUGAGACACGGCCCAGACUCCUACGGGAGGCAGCAGUGGGGAAUCUUGCGCAAUGGGCGAAAGCCUGACGCAGCGACGCCGCGUGAGGGAUGACGGCCU